GAAGGCUGAACCUCUGUUCUACCUCUGACUCUCUGAGUCUCUGCCCGGGACAGAAUCAAGAUUCUUUCUUUUCGUCUCCCUUUCCGCCUGUCUCAUUAAUCUCAUCAAGUCUCAAAGAAUCCUAAUCUCAAGCUCAGCUUGAAAUUGCAAAGAAACCCAGUACCGAGCCUUAGAAUAAUGAUCAAAUCUUUCGCGAUUACUUUCUGGUCCUUGGACUUGAUCCCAAUCUCCAGUAACUGUGACAAAUAAGAAAGUAGGUUCCUGGCAAUGAGCAUACAAAGAACCUCAACAUGUCUCCCUCCUGGAACCCCUCAUUGGAAAUAUGAUGUCUUCUUGAGUUUUAGAGGUGACGACACUAGGAAGGGCUUGACAGACCACUUAUAUAGUGCAUUGGAACAUCAGGGAAUAGUAGCUUUCAAGGAUGAUCCUGAGCUUGAAAAGGGGAAAGCUAUUUCUCCACAACUUUUGACUGCAAUUGAAGAGUCAAGAUAUGCUCUCAUUGUUGUCUCACGAAAUUAUGCAUCGUCAACAUGGUGUCUAGAUGAACUCUUAAGGAUUCUUGAAUGCAUGGAAGGAAGAGAAACAGUGAUGCCAAUUUUAUAUGAUGUCGAUCCCUGUGAUGUACGAAAACAAACAGGAAGUUUCGCUGAAGCCUUCACGAGACAUGAAGAAAGGUUUAGGGAUGACACAGAGAAGGUGCAAAGGUAGAGAUAUGCUUUGACAGAAGUGGCAAGUUUCUCUGGGUGGAACUCAAAGGCGUGGUACGAGUCAAAGCUCAUCAAAUAUAUUGUUGAAGUCUUGUGGACAAAAUUGCACCCUACAUUAUGUAGUUCUGUGGAGAACGUAGUUGGAAUUGAUUCAAGAUUGCAACCAAUCAAUUUGCUUUUAGGUGGAGGAGUG